CGAACGCUUUGUGGUUCAACUGAUUUGAAGAAGCUUGCUCAGAUAUGACGAUGGACAUUGCAAAGAGUGGCGAACGGGUGAGUAACACGUGGGAAACCUACCUCUUAGCAGGGGAUAACAUUUGGAAACAGAUGCUAAUACCGUAUAACAAUGACAACCGCAUGGUUGUUAUUUAAAAGAUGGUUCUGCUAUCACUAAGAGAUGGUCCCGCGGUGCAUUAGCUAGUUGGUAAGGUAAUGGCUUACCAAGGCGAUGAUGCAUAGCCGAGUUGAGAGACUGAUCGGCCACAAUGGGACUGAGACACGGCCCAUACUCCUACGGGAGGCAGCAGUAGGGAAUCUUCCACAAUGGGCGAAAGCCUGAUGGAGCAACGCCGCGUGUGUGAUGAAGGGUUUCGGCUCGUAAAACACUGUUGUAAGAGAAGAAUGACAUUGAGAGUAACUGUUCAAUGUGUGACGGUAUCUUACCAGAAAGGAACGGCUAAAUACGUGCCAGCAGCCGCGGUAAUACGUAUGUUCCAAGCGUUAUCCGGAUUUAUUGGGCGUAAAGCGAGCGCAGACGGUUAUUUAAGUCUGAAGUGAAAGCCCUCAGCUCAACUGAGGAAUUGCUUUGGAAACUGGAUGACUUGAGUGCAGUAGAGGAAAGUGGAACUCCAUGUGUAGCGGUGAAAUGCGUAGAUAUAUGGAAGAACACCAGUGGCGAAGGCGGCUUUCUGGACUGUAACUGACGUUGAGGCUCGAAAGUGUGGGUAGCAAACAGGAUUAGAUACCCUGGUAGUCCACACCGUAAACGAUGAGUGCUAGGUGUUUGAGGGUUUCCGCCCUUAAGUGCCGCAGCUAACGCAUUAAGCACUCCGCCUGGGGAGUACGACCGCAAGGUUGAAACUCAAAGGAAUUGACGGGGACCCGCACAAGCGGUGGAGCAUGUGGUUUAAUUCGAAGCAACGCGAAGAACCUUACCAGGUCUUGACAUCCCUUGACAACUCCAGAGAUGGAGUGUUCCCUUCGGGGACAAGGUGACAGGUGGUGCAUGGUUGUCGUCAGCUCGUGUCGUGAGAUGUUGGGUUAAGUCCCGCAACGAGCGCAACCCUUAUUACUAGUUGCCAGCAUUCAGUUGGGCACUCUAGUGAGACUGCCGGUGACAAACCGGAGGAAGGUGGGGAUGACGUCAAAUCAUCAUGCCCCUUAUGACCUGGGCUACACACGUGCUACAAUGGCGUAUACAACGAGUUGCCAACCCGCGAGGGUGAGCUAAUCUCUUAAAGUACGUCUCAGUUCGGAUUGUAGGCUGCAACUCGCCUACAUGAAGUCGGAAUCGCUAGUAAUCGCGGAUCAGCACGCCGCGGUGAAUACGUUCCCGGGUCUUGUACACACCGCCCGUCACACCAUGAGAGUUUGUAACACCCAAAGCCGGUGGGGUAACCUUCGGGAGCCAGCCGUCUAAGUG
rnacentral:rRNA from 1 species